AUUGAACGCUGGCGGCAGGCCUAACACAUGCAAGUCGAGCGGAGCGGCGGCCGCGGGCGUGAUACCUAGGUAUCUGCCUGUUCCCGGUGGAUAACGUCCGGAACUGGGAGCUAAUACCACAUACUUUCACAAGAGCCUAGGUCGGAUUAGCUAGUUGGUGGGGUAAAGGCUCACCAAGGCGACGAUCCGUAACUGGUCUGAGAGGAUGAUCAGUCACACUGGAACUGAGACACGGUCCAGACUCCUACGGGAGGCAGCAGUGGGGAAUAUUGGACAAUGGGCGAAAGCCUGAUCCAGCCAUGCCGCGUGUGUGAAGAAGGUCUUCGGAUUGUAAAGCACUUUAAGUUGGGAGGCGUUACCAACAGAAGAAGCACCGGCUAACUUCGUGCCAGCAGCCGCGGUAAUUC
rnacentral:rRNA from 1 species